CCCAUUCCAGGUGUAUUCCCAGAACCUUGGCAGGCUCUACGAGCGGGAAAUCAGAGCCCUUUUCGAGCAGGCCAAGAUCUCCCUGUCAGGAAGAAGAAAAGGAAGUCUGCAGGAGACGUGGGAGAAGCCAGCAGGGAGCAGGCAGCCGCGGUGGAGCCUCCCCAGGAGCAGGGACAGCCAGGAGGGCGCCCUGGCCAGGGGGAGCAUCAGCAGGGUGUUGGAGCAGGUGCUGAGCGAGCUGCAGCCCCUCUGCACCUCGGAGCAGCAAUUCCUGCAGGAAUUCUUCUGCCUUGGCUGUGGCUCCGUGGAGAUGGAGGGAUCUCCCACUAAGGCAGGAGAGCCCACAGCAGCUCCAGAGGACCCUCCUUGCUCCAAGAGCCAGAGCCAGCCGGAAGAAGCCACAACCCAACUGCUGAGCGAGAUCUUCAGCAGCCUGGAGCCGGAGCUGAGGGCGUUUCUGGAUGUCUGCAGCAAGGCCCAGCCCCUGGGCUGCCUGCAGGUCCUGGUGGCCCUGAGUGACUCCGUGCUGGGCCCCUGGGGCCUUUCCUCAGCUCCCUCCUCGUCCUUCCUGCACUCCCUCCUGUGCAACGUGCUG
rnacentral:lncRNA from 1 species